rnacentral:rRNA from 1 species
UACGGAGGGUGCGAGCGUUGUCCGGAAUCACUGGGCGUAAAGAGCGUGUAGGCGGCUUUGCAAGUCCGUUGUGAAAACUCGAGGCUCAACCUCGAGACGCCGGUGGAAACUGCAAAGCUAGAGUCCGGAAGAGGAGAGUGGAAUUCCUGGUGUAGCGGUGAAAUGCGCAGAUAUCAGGAGGAACACCGGUGGCGAAGGCGGGUCUCUGGGCCGAUAUUGACGCUGAGGAGCGAAAGCGUGGGGAGCAAACAGG